rnacentral:rRNA from 1 species
UACGUAGGUGGCAAGCGUUGUCCGGAUUUAUUGGGUUUCAAGGGUGCGUAGGCGGUUUUGUAAGUCAGUGGUGAAAUAUGUCAGCUUAACUGAGAGGGUGCCAUUGAUACUGCAGAACUUGAGUACAGAUGAGGUAGGCGGAAUUGACGGUGUAGCGGUGAAAUGCUUAGAUAUCGUCAAGAACACCUAUAGCGAAGGCAGCUUACUAGGCUGUAACUGGCGCUGAGGCGCGAAAGUGUGGGGAUCAAACAGG